CUCAAUCUAAUGGAGAUUCUUCCUUGAUACAUGCCUCCCCUCGACCCUCAAAGUGACACUCAUCUGAAAGAAAUAACUUUAGGAAGAAGUUUUCGAAGAUAUAGCAAUAGAUCGAGGCCUUGAAGGGACACACUCAAGCCGACGAAUCUGAGUUUAACAUGGAUCUACCAUUCAACCAAAAGAUAAUGGAUAAGCUACUUCC
rnacentral:lncRNA from 1 species